UACGUAGGGGGCAAGCGUUGUCCGGAUUUAUUGGGCGUAAAGCGCGUGUAGGCGGCUUGGCAAGUCCGCUGUGAAAACUCGAGGCUCAACCUCGAGAUGUCGGUGGAAACUGCCUGGCUAGAGUCCGGAAGAGGAGAGUGGAAUUCCUGGUGUAGCGGUGAAAUGCGCAGAUAUCAGGAAGAACACCGAUGGCGAAGGCAGCGAUCUGGGCAGGUACUGACGCUGAGACACGAAAGCGUGGGGAGCAAACAGG
rnacentral:rRNA from 1 species